GGAUUUUUCUGUCUGUAACUGUUGUACCCAUUUCUUCUGUUUUAGGGCAGAAGAACUCUGGGCCUCUCCUCUGAGCUGACAAGGAAACAUUGCUGGAGCAUUGUAUCCUUACCUGACACGAGGCACUUGAAAUCCAUUUUAUGAACAUGAGUUUGUUCUGUAUUGUACUUUGCCAAGAUUAUUAUCCUUAAGGAACAGGAGGUGAAACCACAGAGCAAGGAGAUGAGGGAAAUCUCAGUGAGAAAUACAGAUGCUUUAGUUACCCUGUCCUGAUAUUUUCCAUUGCAUUUCACCUCCCAGCAAUACUGGAAUGCUGAGAUGCCCAGUAGGGUUCUUCAGAUGUGAAAAAGUAUCAGAUCCCUCCUCCAUCAUGACAUGCAGCCACACAGGGGCAGAUGCUGCCACAAGGGAUGGAUGUUGUGCAUCCUCUCCCACAGCAGCACAUUUGGAUCUGCUUGAGACCACUGAAAAUUCUCACCUUCCUAUCUCCAGCUUCAGAAACAGCCAACAGCACAGCCCUGAAGCUGCACAGUGGGCAAAGGACCCAGCCUCCAGUGGUGCUUUUAGGGAAGUGAAAAGGUGGUGGGCCCAGUAAAACAGAUGAAACUUGAAAAGCAGAACUGGGAAAACACUGCUUUAUUUCCACUUAAGGUAAAUGUGGGACUUUACUGCA